UCUUUGGGCACAGUCUCGGAGGGCAUUGGCUCCUGGGCUCCCCGGUGACCACGGGAGUUUGGGUUGGACUGUGUCUGGGGGUCCCCUCGCACACGCCCACCACGGAAACACAACCUGAGACUCCCCCUGUGCACAGAGACCCUCCCUGCAAGCCGCCUUCAGAAGCUCCUUUGUUUUCUGCAAGUGAUGACCAUGGGCCCAUCCUGCUGGUACUCAUGACUGGGCAGGCACCUGCCCUCCUACUGGUUGGGGGUCCCUUCCCAGGGUCCUCUGGGGGAAUCCCUGGCCCAGGUUGGGGGCUGACCGAGUCGCACCCCAUGGACACCUGCAGCCUUUGCUCCCAGUUAUUGGGUCCCAGGGAUGUUGAGGGCCUGAUGGGGUCAUGUAGAGGGUGGGCUUGGGAACCUCCAGAGUGGGGUGGCAGGAAGGAGCUUGGGUGGGAGGCGGGGGCUGAGGUUUUGGCCCGGCCACAGCCCAGUGUCCCGCCUCUGCACCUGCAGCUGUCCUCUGCUGAUGACCCAUCUCUGUUGAGGAAGCCGCACCCCCCCACCCCGAUUUUAUAUUUCUGGAAGUUUACAGGUUGUGGUGCAUCAGCCCAAAGUCAUUGGCUUGUGUUUUGGGAUUUUUUUCUUAGUUUUCAGAUUUUUUUUAAACAAAGUAUUUUUUUAGGUGCGAUAACCCAGAAAGGGCCCGUUGGGUGUGUGUGUGUCCUGAACCCCUGAUACCGAGGUGGGAGUCCGAGCCUCCUAUGCUCCUCUGGGCCUGAGCAUGAGGGGAGGGUCCCACCUGCACUGCCCCCCUCCCCAGGCAUCAGUGCGUGGGGGGAUGAGGGAGCAGAACCCCACCCAGGCCUGCAUCUGGCCCUGCUGAGAAGCGCCUGCCCCUUCCCUAGCACAAGCCCAGGCUGACGAAGGGGCCGGGCGCUGGGGUGAGUCGAGGGGGCGGGUCCCAGCCAGGAGCUGGAGCUGGAGGCUGAGCCCCUGUGCGCAGUGACCUAUCCGGUCCUCGGGAGGAUGUGUGGGAGGCUUGACAAGGACUGUACCUGACACCGUCCCCUUCACUUUGUACUCUGUGUGUAUGUCUUGGUUUUCCGUGUUUUAAUAAAUCCUCUGGGA
rnacentral:lncRNA from 1 species